GCGUCCUUGUUGUCAAAGUCUGUGAACAGUAUUUCUGCUGAAGCCAAAAAACAGUCUUUCACUAUUUCUGAGUCGGAGAAAGGUUUUGUAGCCCGCGCCAGAAUCCACGCUAUCUCAUAAGACGCCUCUGUUAAGCGCUCUGCAGUGGAGGUUGUGCAGUGGAUUAGAUUUUGCUGCUCACAUAGUGAAGCAGUGAGCUGUGCAGUUUUCUUAAUUCUUAGUUCACUGCCAGGCGGGUAAAUUUCAUUGAAUUUUGGAUGCGCCGUUUUGAAAUGGCGCUCCAGAUUGCUUCGUUUGAAACCGGCACGGGUUUGUUUGCAAAUCAAACAUAGAGGGUUCAUACCAUGCAAAACAAACAGGAAUUUGUCCGUCCACUUCUCUUGAAAUUUUCUGUGCUCAUCUUAUAUGCUUCUUAUUUUUCGUUUUUUAAUUACACCUGCCGUUCAUCUGCCCGUCCCCUCUCCGAUGUCUUCCUGCUGAUUUUUGUCCUCAGACUUAUUUCCCUCAUCCACUCCACUAGCAACACUGUCUGUCUGUUCGUCUGGUUUUUGAGUUCUUUUCUGUCCCUUUUUUAUUAAAAAACGGUCCAUUUCGUAUUUCCGCUGGCGUGCGGAGCUAGCGGAGCUUACGUAGCCCGCCUUUAAAUUUUGAGCGGUCACGUGUUGUAAACAAUGCCACACGCUUGCGGGCUGCGUUGCCAGGUUUGACAGGUUGACAAUUCCCCCUUUAGGGAUCACCAUUAAGGCUUAAUACUUUUAAUUUCUCCUUCAUUAUUUGGGUGAAGGGACAAGUAUAAUUCAGAUGUUUGCGUUUUUGUAGUGCAGUGUUGUACGUUUAUGAAGCACAUUUGAAAAAAUGUAUUGGCUGUGUUACCACAUAGGAAGCUACCAUGCGAGCCACCAAUUAUAGCUUGACGAGCCGCAUGUGACUCGUGAGCCGCGCAAUGAGUAACGCUGCUCUAGACUCAUCGGUGCCACCGAGCCAAUUCAGUGCAGAUGUUUCAGGUAAUGUACUGAAACAAUUUAUAUCGUUUUGUCUUAUGUUUCAAAUAAUAACUGCAUGCAUUAAUAUGUAAUUGGGGGUGGGUGAUUUCAGGAUAAGGAAAAUAUUUUUAAAAAGUGUGUUCUCUAAUUUACUACUGCCUAACCAAAAGUAUUUUUAAUGCAAGGUUAAGGAGCAGACUUUUAGUCAACCUCUUAAAGAAUGGUGGGAAGCAAUUUCUUUUGCUUCUGACCUUUGCUUCUGACAUUUGUUUUAGUAUUUAAUAUGUUGUUAAUUAUUAAGUAGUUUUGAUUGGCUGUAAAUUAACUAGUGUGAGGUUGUGGAUAGUUAAUGAAGGUCUUAUUCUCUUGCACUUUUCCUAUGUCAGAAUCAAGUUCAUCUUCAGAACUUUUGCUGCAGCCUUCUGACUCAGACUCAUCAGUUCGACCCCAGCGCUGUUCCACCCCAAAACGAUCAUUAGCUUUUAAACCUUCAUCUUCAUCAUCAAACAGCAGAGGUAUUUUGGGAAAUGUCUUCCUAAGAAGGUCUGUAUUUUGCACAAUUAAUGUAUAUGGACAUUAAUUAUCUUUCCACUAUUCUUUUCUCUACAUUUUGUCUCAGUCUCACAAAGAUCAACCAGUUCAGCAGAAAAGAAGCCUAAAACAACUCAUUCAGACCCGGCACCAAGUUCCCAAAAAAAAAAAUGGAGUGACAAGGAAGUUGCUGCUGUGGAUUCGCAAAUGGGAAGAUUUAGAGAAAAUGCUCUGCCAGCAUUUCGAACAUGUGGAGAUUCGAGGGAAGCAUGGCAGGAAGGUGCCCAUAAUCCUAACUUAAGCUUGUGUGGAGUGGGUGAAAACCUCUACUUAUUUGCCAGGCCAGGGUUAGACACAAGAUUAAGGGGGUCUGACUGCAUCCGUGAGUUGGCUAAAAACUGUGGGGCCCGAAAACCAGAAACUCUCUCCUCCACAAAACUUAGAAGACAAGUGGCCACUCUCACCAGAGUACUGAAUCUAAAUGAUACAGAACAAGACCUUUUAGCAGACUUUCUAGGACACGACAUAAGGGUGCACAGGAAGUUCUACCGCCUCCCUGAAGGGACUUUGCAGUUGGCAAAGAUCAGCAAGGUACUGAUGGCCUGCGAACAGGGCAGACUGUCUGAAUUCAAAGGGAAAAGUCUGGACCAAAUCUCUAUCAGCCCCACAGACCCAUCUGAAGUUAUUGAAGAAAGCUCAGGGGAGUCAUCUGAAGAGGAAGAUGAUACAAAUACUCCAAC